AUUAAACGGCCGCGGUAUUAUGACCGUGCAAAGAUAGCGCAAUCACUUGUCUCUUAAAUGGGGACCCGUAUGAAUGGUUAAACGAGGACUUAACUGUCUCCCUUUUCCGGUCAGUGAAAUUGAUCUAUCCGUGCAGAAGCGGGUGUAAACAUACAAGACGAGAAGACCCUUUGGAGCUUAAGGCACACCAUCACCUAUGUUAAAACACCUAAACCAAAUAGUAUUUGAUGUGAGCCUUCGGUUGGGGUGACCGCGGAAUAAAGCUAAACCUCCGCAAGGAUUAAAGAAACCCUUUUAAAUAAAGAAAGACAUUUCUAAAUCACAGAAUUUCUGACCAUAAAGAUCCGACCAUGUCGAUCAACGAACCAAGUUACCCAAGGGAUAACAGCGCAAUCCCCUUUCAGAGUUCCUAUCGCCAAGGGGGUUUACGACCUCGAUGUUGGAUCAGGACAUCCUAAUGGUGUAGCCGUUAUUAAGGGUUCGUUUGUUCAACGAUUAAAG
rnacentral:rRNA from 1 species